rnacentral:rRNA from 1 species
UACGGAGGGUGCAAGCGUUGCUCGGAAUUACUGGGCAUAAAGGGCGUGUAGGCGGUUUCGUAUGUCUGGCGUGAAAGCCCCGGGCUCACCUCGGGAAGUGCGUCGGAAACUGCGAGACUAGAGUCCCGGAGAGGGAGGUGGAAUUCCAGGUGUAGCGGUGAAAUGCGUAGAUAUCAGGAGGAACACCGGUGGCGAAGGCGGCUUUCUGGACAGUAACUGACGCUGAGGCGCGAAAGCUAGGGAGCAAACAGG